CACGACGUUUUUCCGAUCUCGGUAACUCCAGCUCCGAUAGCGUAUAUUUAAGUUGUUGCAGUUAAAAAGCUCGUAGUUGGAUUUCGGGUGGGUUCCAGCGGUCCGCCUACGGUGAGUACUGCUGUGGCCCUCCUUUUUGCCGGGGACGGUCUCCUGGGCUUCACUGUCCGGGAAUCGGAGUCGGCGAUGAUACUUUGAGUAAAUUAGAGUGUUCAAAGCAAGCCUACGCUCUGAAUACUUUAGCAUGGAAUAUCGCGAUAGGACUCUGGCCUAUCUCGUUGGUCUGUAGGACCGGAGUAAUGAUUAAGAGGGACAGUCGGGGGCAUUCGUAUUUCAUUGUCAGAGGUGAAAUUCUUGGAUUUAUGAAAGACGAACUACUGCGAAAGCAUUUGCCAAGGAUGUUUUCAUUAAUCAAGAACGAAAGUUGGGGGCUCGAAGACGAUUAGAUACCGUCGUAGUCUCAACCAUAAACGAUGCCGACUAGGGAUUGGAGGAUGUUCUUUUGAUGACUUCUCCAGCACCUUAUGAGAAAUCAAAGUUUUUGGGUUCC
rnacentral:rRNA from 1 species